AUGUCUAUGUAGAAAAUGUCAGUGUUAGUAGCCAAAAAGAGUCAUAUGAUACAAGUAGUUCUAAUUUAACAGUUUCUUUGUGUUCCAAAGUGAAGAAGCGUCGACGCCACCGAUUCAGAGUAAUUUGACAGGAUUUGCACGAGGACACAAAUGUAUUCACGCUUUCAGAAAUGAGCUGACAUUUGGGACUCGUUACAAAAUUCAUCUUAAGAGUGAUAAUUACAGGCUCAUGGUUGUCAGCUUAGUUUGUUUACGUUUGUUGAAAUUCCCGAAAAUUACAACAGAAAAGAUGUAUGGUCUAUUAACAUGGCUUGGUAACCUAUCAUACACAAGGCAAAAUGAAAAUAAAAAAACUUUUCAAAUCUAGAUCGACUAGUUUUUACGAUAAUACCUGAAUUCCUAAAAUUAUUUUAAAUGCAGUUUUGGAUUCAAAAACCCAGAAAAGUGUGAAAGUGGCAUAGUUUGGACAAAUAUAGAUGAUAUCUGUCACUGAUUAAAAUCACUCAUGAGAAACAACGCUUCAAUGCAAAUCUGAUGAUGGUGUCUAAUUUUAAAAAAUUGGUAGAUUAUUCCAAAAGCAACUUGAUCUCCUAUUACCUUAUUUAAUUCUGAUUACAAGUUUUACGAUGUAAAAGUAUAAUAUAUGAAUAAAUAUAGUAUGAAAUUGAUGUUCAAUAAUUUAGUAUUGUAAUUUUUACGGAGAAACUAUAAAAUAAAUAUGACUUCUAUGGCAAACAUGUAUAAAAUGCAAGAAUGUCAUUUCCACAUAGAAGAUAGGUUUUCGGUACAAAUUUCUUUUUUGAAAUAUUCUAAAUAUUGAAUUUGUCACUUGUACCCUUUGUGAACUAGGGUUUUCAAAAAUGUUCAUUUAUUACUCUGUAUUAACUAAAUUAUAUCAUAUUGUAUUUAUAUUUUAAAUCAAUGUUCUUUAUUACAUUAAAAAAAUAACAGCCCACUUAAUAUAUAUCAUAAUUUCAAAACAAUGAGUCUAAUAGUUACACUCGCAUAAUAGACCCAAGUGUUUCACAAAUUUUAAUGGAUAAGAUAGUUUUUGUAAAGUAAAUUGCUUUGAAAUUUUAUUACACCUAAAUUUAUAAAAGAAUAUGGUUUAGUCAAUCUAAAUAAAAAUUAGA